CAAUUAUUUAAAGAAAAAAAUCUAUCAGGCACUAAUAAAAAAAUACAUAAUUAGGGUGUCAAAAUUUAACAAACUGAACAAGUCAAUUUGAACUUCUCUUGCAAUGCAAAUGGAGCCACUUGAAAUACCAAAUUGUUCCCAUACUAGUCGGCAAUAUAGCUAUGACAUUGUGUCUAUUCAUAACAUGCAUCAGAUACACCUUCUGAAACUUUUUAAGCGGUUUUGAAAACGCUAUUUCAUUGCAAACUUUCGUCAAUAAAGGAUACAUGUCGUUAUACAACCGAAAGUGAAAGUACAGUUUAAAAAAAAUGAAUAAAGAGCGAAAUUGUUGAAAACUUACGAAAAUUUUAAUUGAUACUAACAUAAGACCGUAAGACUGAACAAAAUUAUACGUAACCUUUAAAUCAUAACAUGAAAGUUUACUUAUAAAGCAAAUUCUUCAUUCAUCCGCGGACUUCUUUGUGUCGUAGUCAUAAAUGCCUCCAAAUGGAGGUGCGUGAUGCGUCUAAGUAUAGAGGUGACAAUAACGUAGUGACGUCACCAUUUAUGUAUAGAAUGCGUUUUCCUGUCAAUCGAUUAUCCACAGCCUGACUGUUCCGGUUACACACCAGUAAAUUUCACCACACGAAUACUUCUUCUUCUUCUUCUUCUUCUUCCAGUAAUGUACAGGUCCCCUCUGGGGCAGUUUCGUACAUGGGGGUUUAUGUACAGGGACAUGUGCACGGCGCGCAACUAUAUACAGUGCUGAUUAAAAGGUUAAAAACAUCUGUUUAUCGGGCCUACCGCUGCGCCGACAGGCCCCUCUUGAAGGCCUCUACGCUGUCAGCUGUGGUGCCCGGCGAUGGGUGCUGGUUCCACAGUCUGAUUGCGGAGGGGAAGAGGAGUACUUGUAGACAUCUGUCCGACAGAAGGGUAGCAAGAAAUUCGGAUAAAAAAGAAUUUAAACAAUAUGCAUGUUCAAUCUCAACUGGUUGUAAUAGAAAGCUUUGUUUCUCGACGACAGAUAAGGAACGCAACACAGACUGACAUAAUGUCAUUCUUCUAACAAGAGCUGUCAGAAGACAGCGCGCUCGACUAUUCGAGUGCUGGACAGUAUAAGUUGGACAGUGAGGGGAGAAGGAAACUGGCCACUCUUGCUACGCAGAAGGAUGGAAUGGGUGACCCAUUGGCAGUCUGCUACAACAGACACUCCGCCUGCAUUAUUGUCGUACUUGUGUUUAACAGCAGUAUCCUGGUGUUCAAAGUACAAAUGUGUUUUUUUAACAUGCAUCUUAUUUUAUUAUUCAGAUUAUUUAAAUUGGCCAUGAGAAUAUGUUGUUGUACACUUAGAACAUUGUGAUAUGAUACUAUAACAAUGAUAGUAUUAAUAAAGAGUUCAUGUGAACAUUAGAAGUGCUAUGAAUGUAUUAAAUUGUUACAUAUAUGACAAUUAUUUAUUACUGUAUUUCUAUUUUACUUAACACGCUUAAAUGAUUUUAGUUCAGUGAAUAAUUUAUGUUAUUUACCUGACAUCAACAUCACACUCAAUUUAUAUAUAUUGGCUCUCACUUCUUUAAAAUACAUUACAAAUGUAUAGAAGAUUACUUAAAAUUCGUUUAAGCCUUGGUUUUGAAGUAUGAUGUAAAGUGCUGUUUCCAGCACUGAAAACACCUUUCUUUAUAAAAUGUAAUGACCUUAACUGAGGUUUGGAUCAAAAUCAAUAUCCAAUGAAACGUUUAGGUAUUCUAUUCCAGUUGACUAAAUGAAUAAAUGUUAAUUCAGUAUCGGCUAAUGUGAAAAUUACAGCGAUGCAGCAUUGCAUUUUGCAAUAUUGUUAACCCGAGUUUACAGUGCAAAGCUAUAUUCAUGAACAAGAGUAGAAAUGUGAAGCAGCUACAACAGUUUGACACUGUCAAAAUCAAUACAUUGUGUGUGUGCCCCCUUAUGUUUGCCAGAGCGUUUAUUCUUGCAGAUGGUGAUCUUAUAUAAAACAAUUAGUAUUAUAUUGCAUUCUGUGCACUAGUAUAUAUAUAUAUAUAUAUAUAUAUAUAUAUAUAUAUAUAUAUAUAUAUAUAUUAGCAUAUCGUUCUUCCUCACUCUUCCCUACCCUGAUAUACAUGCACUUCUGAAAAUUCAUGUAAUUGUUUUUAUAAUUGACAUUCAAACAUUUUAAAGUAAUGAGUUUUACAUAAGCCAGCAUUCCAACAGUACAAUCAUGACAUCUCGGUAAUUGCAAUACAUUCCAUGUCUUGUAAUUCACGACAUGGUUUGUUGAUAAAAUCACAGGAUAAAAUGGUUUGUGUGGUCCACUGGAUGAUGUUUUGUUCUUAUUGCGCAAUUUAGGGGACACAAAUUGUCUUAUCAAUUUUCUUGAAUUGUUAUUAUACAAUAUGUUAAGUGGAACUCUGACACCCCAACAUCCCAAACAAAAUUAAACAAAUACCUUGCAAAUGAUAUCAUACAAAAUGGAAAAAAAUCCAUGGACAAGUGUUUAAAACACAAAUUAUACAUAUAUUAUUGUCGGAUAGUCAUACAUGCACUUUUUGCAAAAGGUCAGAAUAAUCAAUAACCCAUUUAUUCUGGGAGUGAAAUGCAGUACAAAAACUCAUUACAGAUAUCUCUGAUAGGUUAAAUAAUGCAAUAUACCAAUAGUAAUAACUGCAAACUGUUACUUCUGGGUGAUAUAAAUGAACCGUUAAAGGAGAAAUACUUUAUUCUUAUAAUGAAAGUAAACAAAACUACAUUUGAUGAAUGCAAAAUGAAAGACCUUAUCCAAAAUUUUCAGGGAUUUAAAGCUAGCCUAAGAUUUUCUUUAAAUGUUUAUGCGAACACAACAAGUGAAUCAAAUACAGGAGUUUUUUGGACAGUUAUAAAACUAAUAUGUAAUUAUUUCAUUAAAGCGGGUAUAUACGAUUUUUUAUAUGUGUUUAAUUGUAAUAUAUUGAUAAAACAUGUUACAAUCACCAUAUAUAGGCAAGAAAAAUCAUGCAUUAAAGCCGAUUUCAUAAAAUGCAGCAAAGACAAAUUAGCGCCCCGAGCCGAUUGUGACGUGCAUAUUUUCCUACAAUAACCGAAGCAUUCGUCUUUGUAUUAGGAUCGGAGCUAGUGUUCGUGUGUCGUAUGAAUAGAUAUCGUUGCAGGAAUUCAAAUAAACCGUUAAACUAAGUUUAGAUUCACAUCGUACAUGUAUGGUAUACAUGCUGGCGAAUUCGGCUGUACAGCCAUUUUCAAUUUCAGAAUUUAAUAUCUGGCUUAUUUUGCAUUUUUCGACACAUGUUCUUCUCAACUUUUAUUUUAAUUUAUAUUGAAAUAUAUAAUUAAUAAGUUUUUACACAUUUUAUAUGAAUUCAUAAAUAUUUGACAAAAUCGUAUAUACCCGCUUUAAUACAAACAUAACUGUUGUUUACCUAGCAGCUCUAAUUAAAUAUGUUAUUGAUUAUUGUCAGGUAAAUAUACUUAAACGUACCCGGUCAAUAUUAGACUGUACCCGAGUUGUAUUCCUGCCCAAAAGCCGAUGACCUAAAACAAGCUACCAAUAACCAUAAAACAAUAUUGUUUAUCUUAAACAAACUUCUCUUUCAAAAAAACUACAUCCACAUGCUUUUUGAGUAUAUGUUUGGAUAAUAUAGAGGCCAUUUAACAGAAAAUUUGACAUAAAUGUGAACAUAAUUAAUUUAAAAAAAAUAGCCGACAACGACCGAUAUAGCGUUAAAAUUCCCGUGUACAUUUUAGUAUAUUUACCGUACCCGGGGUACAUGUAAGUAUACUUAAGAGUACCUGGGGUACAUGUAAGUAGUACCCGAGCCGACAAUGACCAACCAAGCGUAAAUAACUGUUCUUAUAUAUUUUUCUUUAUGCAGGUAUUGUAUAAUAAUACAAUUUUUUCUCUUUUAAUACAUGUAUUUGCAUAGUCAUUAAUGGUGUUUUAUUUUGUCCAUAGACUGAUGGAAAUAAAAGAUUUUUAAUUUGUGAUCAUUGUUUAUUAUUGUCCAAAUCAUGAAGUAAAGAUCAAAAAUGUAAAAAGCGUUAAUAAAACAUAGACUUUACAGGUCUUCUUUUAAGUCUUCUUUAUUCACUGGAAUGUCGCUAUAAUUUUGUAGCCUGAAAUAAAAUCACAUCCUUUAAUUCAUCAUACAAAAUUUGAUUCACAAUAAAAUGUUCUCGCA